rnacentral:rRNA from 1 species
ACUCAAAUGAAUAGACGGGGGCCCGCACAAGCGGAGGAACAUGUGGUUUAAUUCGAUGAUACGCGAGGAACCUUACCUGGGCUUAAAUGUAGAGUGCAUGUCGUGGAAACACGCUUCCCUUCGGGGCUCUUUACAAGGUGCUGCAUGGUUGUCGUCAGCUCGUGCCGUGAGGUGUCGGGUUAAGUCCCAUAACGAGCGCAACCCUUACCGUUAGUUGCCAUCAGGUCAAGCUGGGAACUCUAGCGGGACUGCCACCGUAAGGUGAGAGGAAGGUGGGGAUGACGUCAAAUCAGCACGGCCCUUAUGUCCAGGGCUACACACGUGUUACAAUGGCCGGUACAAAGGGCAGCUACACCGCGAGGUGGUGCUAAUCUCAAAAGCCGGUCCCAGUUCGGAUCGCAGUCUGAAACCCGACUGCGUGAAGUUGGAUUCGCUAGUAAUCGCGCAUCAGCCAUGGCGCGGUGAAUACGUUCCCGGGCCUUGCACACACCGCCCGU